rnacentral:misc_RNA from 1 species
AAGCUCUCAAUUAGCAGAAAUAUGGGAAUACUAUUUUCCUUUUACCUUAAAUUCACUAUCUAGUAUCUACUACUACUAACAAAACGCUCUUGAACAUUUGAUCUAUCAAUCACCAUCAAGAUCUGUAUUUGGAGGGUUAUUUUUGUCAAUUGCAUUUUGAGAAUAUCCCUUUUCUUCCUUACCCUUGAGGCCUAGAUACUGCAAAUUUUUGCGUUCAAGGGAGGGCGAGGGAAAGUUGGGUUUUAGCUCUGAACAAGUGAUUUUAAGUAUUGAAUUCCACUUGAACUCUUGAUAAGAGGAGAAAAACAUAUAGGGAUUCAUACAGUUCAUUGUUUAAUCCAGCCAUUGAAAUGAGG